rnacentral:lncRNA from 1 species
AGUAUUAAGAUAGAAAUAUAGAUUUUCCAAGCAGAAAAUUUUGUUGGGAGUAUCAUGUUUCAGCUCAAUUUGAUUCUUUUAGUCACUAUUUCUAGAUUGAGAGGUUUAUCAUCUUGUGUGGUUAUUUUGAACAGAAAAAGUUGUUCUAUACAUGGUGCACCUUGUUUUCUAAGUUAACUGACUAUUGUUUUGUUACUGAUUUUGUACAUCUUUAAUAACUGUCUAUUACUCCCUCCUUUUGACUAAAGAUACAAAUUUGUCUUCAAAAAGGAGAUAAAAAAGACAGGUACAUAAAGCAAAGAGGAAAUAUGUUAUUUAGUAAGGUUUAUUAG